rnacentral:rRNA from 1 species
UAUUACUAAGCGGAGGAAGAGAAACUAACGAAGAUUGACAUAGUAAGGGCGACUGAAAUGUCAUCAGCUCAGCAUGUGAAUCAGCGUCGACCUUGCUUGGCGCUGAAUUGUGGUCUUACGGUUGUUGCGCUACCUUGUCCAGACCAUGUUUUUUGGAACAAAAUAGCAAAGAGGGUGAAACUCCUGUUUGUCUGGACGCACGAAGCAACACCUACUGAGUCGAGUUGUUUGGGAUUGCAGCUCAAAUGCGGUGGUAAAUUCCAUCUCAAGCUAAAUACUGGUGGGAGACCGAUAGCGUACAAGUACCGUGAGGGAAAGAUGCAAAGAACUUUGAAAAGAGAGUGAAAGAGUACCUGAAAUUGCUGAAAAGGAAGCGAACGAAGCUAGUGACAGCUACGUCAUACUUUCCAACUUGCUUGCAAGUUGGACGCUGUGCCUAGCAUCGUUCGACUUGAUUGCUCCAUGUGAAAGCAGGCGAAGAAAAGAUUUCAUUUUCUUUCGCUACAUACAAGCACAUGGCGCGAUCGAGUUGAACCAAAUAGCUUUGUUUGCCCCGUCUAGAAACACGGACCAAGGAGUCUAACAUAUGUGCGAGUACUGGGGUCACACACCUUGGUGCGCAAUGAAAGUAACAGAGGCUAGAARCCAAACCUWRYAAGGAAUGGUUUGUGCACAGUCCGCCGGCCCCAAUCCCUCGGGAGAAUGGUCUGAGUGUGAGCAUACAUGUUGGGACCCGAAAGAUGGUGAACUAUGCUUGAGUAGGGUGAAGCCAGGGGAAACUUUGGUGAAGGCUCGCAGCGAUUCUGACGUGCAAAUCGAUCGUCAAACUUGAGUAUAGGGGCGAAAGACUAAUCGAACUAUCUAGUAGCUGGUUCCCUCCGAAAUUUCCCUUAGGAUAGCUGCAAUCGAUAAUUACCAGUUUUGUCA